rnacentral:rRNA from 1 species
AUUGAACGCUGGCGGCAUGCCUUACACAUGCAAGUCGAGCGGAGAUGAGGUGCUUGCACCUUAUCUUAGCGGCGGACGGGUGAGUAAUGCUUAGGAAUCUGCCUAUUAGUGGGGGACAACAUUCCGAAAGGAAUGCUAAUACCGCAUACGUCCUACGGGAGAAAGCAGGGGAUCUUCGGACCUUGCGCUAAUAGAUGAGCCUAAGUCGGAUUAGCUAGUUGGUGGGGUAAAGGCCUACCAAGGCGACGAUCUGUAGCGGGUCUGAGAGGAUGAUCCGCCACACUGGGACUGAGACACGGCCCAGACUCCUACGGGAGGCAGCAGUGGGGAAUAUUGGACAAUGGGGGGAACCCUGAUCCAGCCAUGCCGCGUGUGUGAAGAAGGCCUUAUGGUUGUAAAGCACUUUAAGCGAGGAGGAGGCUACUGAGACUAAUACUCUUGGAUAGUGGACGUUACUCGCAGAAUAAGCACCGGCUAACUCUGUGCCAGCAGCCGCCGUAA